rnacentral:lncRNA from 1 species
GACCAUGACCUCUCUUGAGCUUGGCUGGCUGAAGUCUGUCAUGCAAUGCAUAUAGGGUUCUCUGAGCAUCAAGGGAUUUCGGCAAAAUGUUUCACCCUGUCCUUGCCUAAACUACAGAUGUCAAAUACAACAGUGAAAGUAUUUUAACACAGAAGUGAUUUUGGAUGCAGAAAUCCACAUAAUUAAAAAACGUGUCAAGGACCUGACACGCAUCUUCGCUUGCAGGUCAUGAGGUCUGAUUCCAGAACUGUAUCUUGUAGCUGGAGGAGUCUUCAUUGCAGUUGAUGAACUCGUUAGAGAGCAUGCUGCUUUUUGAUGAGCCUAUGUAUAGAAAUACUGGAGCUAUUUGAUGACAGACUUCAUUUGGAUAUGGAAAGGUACAAGGUUCGUAACUAUUUCUGAUGAGGUUGUUUGUGGGAACUGAUCUCAACUAAAUAAAACAGGACCUCUCAUACUGAAAGAGUAGCAGAACAGAAGCGUAAGCUGGGGCCUGCCAGUUGUGCAGGAGGAAAAAGAAUCACAGAGUUAACUCUUACGUAUUCUUUAAGAGUACUAUAAAUCAGUUGGUGGCUGCAUCAUCAUGUGUAUCCACAGGGGAGAUCUGAAGACAAUUCUUAACUUUAUAAAGUAGAUUUUGAUGAACUUUAUUGAUUUCUUAAUGGGCUAAUAAUUGUCUCCUCUGUUGCUUGCCAUAAAAUUUAUUUAAACAGCAGAGUAUUCAGAGCAACAGUCUUCUUUGACCAGCUCUGGCUGUGGCUGAAUACACAUUCCAGUGGAGGCAUAACUCAGGCAAAGCCUGACUUGUGAUGCAGCUGGUGGUGCUGCAUUUAAUAACGCACAAGAAUGAGAGGGUAAAUAAGAAUUGGGAACAGAGGUAAAAAUAUGAUUGAAAAAUCAUCUUCUGUUUCAAGUAUUAUCGAAAAGAAAAUGUAAUUUUUACAAAUUGGUAGUUAGUGAUAUUUCUAUGCCCUCUUGACAUAGAGGAAACUAAACUCCAAGAUCAAAGUUCUGACCUACAAGCAUUUUACUCCAAAUUCUAGAUAUUGAUGUUUUCUUUAUAAAGGCCUGUCAAAUUCUAAUAUCCAUUUCCGUUAAGUAGUAUAAGCGUCUUGAUUAAUGAUGUGAAAGGAUUUGGGUGUCUGGUCAUGCUUUUGAGCUCUUAAUAAUUUUAUUUGCUCUAAAUUAAAAGGAGUUCUUACGCAAAGAUUAAAUAUAUUGCUACUUUCCUCCUUUCCAUCCAGAAUUUCCAAACCUGGUAGCUAAGAGGUUUGUAGCUACAAAGGAUUCCCUCAUCCCCUUCAUUUUCCUAUAACGUGAUGGUAUGGUUUCUUGUUCUUUAGUUGGUUUUGCAUUAUUUGGAUACAUAUACUAAAA